UGCAGAAGGACCAAUUAAUUUAUGGUCUUUAUAGGCGACAUAUAUUCCAGGCUGUUUUCACACCUUCCUGCUAACUAUUCCCAUCAUAAACAUUUACCUGCAGAGGAAAUGGUCAAUGUAAGAUUAUUUUUGUGCAAUCCCAUUUUACCCCCAAUAGUAGGACUACAUUGUCAAGUAUGGUGCAAAAUUACAUUACCACUUCUGUAGUGGCUAUUAUAAAGAGAAAUAUAAAAUGCAAUUUUAUCUCAAGUCCAGGCAUAAACUGGAAGCUGUUAUCAUUUAUCCCCUGCCUUAUAAAGCUGGUUAUACUUCACACCAAGUAUUGAUUUGCCUUUGAAUAUACAUGGUUACAUGCAGUUGAUAGGUGUUCAAGAAGGAACUGCAGAUGCUGG